rnacentral:rRNA from 1 species
GAUGAACGCUGACAGAAUGCUUAACACAUGCAAGUCGAUGGGGAAGUGGUGCUUGCACCAUGGCAACCAUGGCGGACGGGUGAGUAACGCGUAAGGGACUUACCUGCAGGACUGGGAUAACAGGGGGAAACUCCUGACAAGACCGGAUAAUGUCAUGGAGCUGCAUGGCUUUAUGAUGAAAGGAGACGCCUGCGGAGAGCCUUGCGUCCUAUUAGCUAGUUGGUGAGGUAAUGGCUCACCAAGGCGAAGAUAGGUAGCCGGCCUGAGAGGGUGGACGGCCACGAGGGGACUGAGAGACGGCCCUUACGCCUACGGGAGGCAGCAGUGAGGAAUAAUGGACAAUGGGGGCAACCCUGAUCCAGCAAUUCUGUGUGCACGAAGAAGGUUUUCGGAUUGUAAAGUGCUUUCAGAAGGGAAGAAGUAAGUGACGGUACCUGCAGAAGAAGCGACGGCUAAAUACGUG